rnacentral:misc_RNA from 1 species
GAUGAAGAACGCAGCGAAAUGCGAUAAGUAAUGUGAAUUGCAGAAUUCCGUGAAUCAUCGAAUCUUUGAACGCACAUUGCGCCCGCCAGUAUUCUGGCGGGCAUGCCUGUUCGAGCGUCAUUUCAACCAUCAAGCCCCCGGCUUGUGUUGGGGACCUGCGGCUGCCGCAGGCCCUGAAAUCCAGUGGCGGGCUCGCCGUAGCACCGAGCGUAGUAGCACACUUCUCGCUCCGGUAGCAGCGGCGGGCGCUUGCCGUAAAACCCCCCCCCUAAAAUCUCAAGGUUGACCUCGGAUCAGGUAGGAAUACCCGCUGAACUUAAGCAUAUCAAUAAGCGGAGGA